CCUACGGGUGGCAGCAGUGGGGAAUAUUGGACAAUGGGCGAAAGCCUGAUCCAGCCAUGCCGCGUGUGUGAAGAAGGCCUUCGGGUUGUAAAGCACUUUCAGUGGGGAAGAAAGCCUUGGGGCUAAUACCCUCGAGGAAGGACAUCACCCACAGAAGAAGCACCGGCUAACUCCGUGCCAGCAGCCGCGGUAAUACGGAGGGUGCGAGCGUGAAUCGGAAUUACUGGGCGUAAAGCGCGCGUAGGCGGUCUGAUAAGCCGGUUGUGAAAGCCCCGGGCUCAACCUGGGAACGGCAUCCGGAACUGUCAGGCUAGAGUGCAGGAGAGGAAGGUAGAAUUCCCGGUGUAGCGGUGAAAUGCGUAGAGAUCGGGAGGAAUACCAGUGGCGAAGGCGGCCUUCUGGACUGACACUGACGCUGAGGUGCGAAAGCGUGGGUAGCAAACAGGAUUAGAUACCCUUGUAGUC
rnacentral:rRNA from 1 species